GGAAAAACGAGAAGGCUCGGGGACCAGAAUGGACAGACUGACCCUAGGUGGCGGGGCGACUGGACUGGGUAGCGGAUUCUCGCGGUAAAAGUCUAUAGAUAAUAACUCUUUCAACCAAUUGCCAGUCAGAGAAAACUGAAUCUGCCUGUGACCUGAAAGUGUUGCCCCCUGACCCCACAUCAGUGCUUUGAGUUGUCCCACCUUUCUGGAUGUUCUCUGUGGGAUAUGCGUGAGGGGAGAAGAAAAGACACAUACACAAUACCUUUAAGGGUAAACGACCUUUAUCCCAUGUAAAUGGCAAUGCAGAUAUAAGAAGCAAAUUGCAAUGGGAAGGGUAGAAGGGAAAGUAUAUAUAUAUAUAUAAUAUAUAUACACACACACACAUACAUACAUACACCCAUCAGACUAUGGAGGAUUUAUCACAAGACCAAGAAGCAACAGCCUGGGUUCCAGACUCGGACACUACACUCACCAGACUAUGGAGGAUUCACCACCAGAUCGGGAAGCAACAUCCUGGGCUCCAGAGUUGGGCACUACACUCACCAGACUAUGGAGGAUUCACCACCAGACCAGGAAGCAACAGCCUGGGCUCCAGAGUUGGCCACUCCUCCUUGCACAGAUGAGGAGAGGUCUCCUGAAGCUUCGGCUGGGCCUGGGACCCUAGCUCUUUUUGUAACAAGUUGUUUGGCAUGAGGCCCAGUCACAAGGGCCCUUCACAAUCGGGCUCAAGGAACACAAAAAGGUCAACUUGUUUUUGCUAUUGUCUAUUGUUUUUCAAUAACUAUAGGAAUAGAUUGAAAUAGAGAUUUCUCUGCAACAGCGCUGGAUGAAAGCCUCAAGGGACUCACAAAACCUGUUCCAGGACUUGGUGACUAUUGUUUGUGUCCAGGUUCAAUUGAAUUCAGAUUUAAUAUUUAACUUUUCCUCCAUGCUGGACCAAACCAAUAUACAUCUUACAUGUAGUAAUGUCUUAUAACUCCCUAAAAUGUAUAAAAUCAAGCUGUAACCUGACCACCUUGGACACAUGUUCUCAGGAUCCCCUGGGGCUCUGUCACGGACCAUGUGAGGUAGGAAGUGGGACUCUGUUCUGGAGGCAGAGUUUGGACACUGGAUCAAGUUGAGGACUAGCUGAAACAGGGCAGGGGUGGAAGCAACUUUCCAUAAGAUGCCCACCAGUAUGCCAUGUCAGUUUACUAUUGCCGUGGCAACACCUGAACAUUACCCUCCCCUUUCCAUGGCAGUGACCUGAUGACCUGGAAAUUACCAUCCUCAUUCUCAACAUUUCUGCGUAAACUGCCCCUUAAUUUGUAUAUAGUUAAAAGUGGGUAUAAAUAUGACUGCAGAACUGCCUCUGAGCUGCUCUUCUGGGCACUGCCUGUGAGUAGCCCUGCUCCGCAAGGAGCAAUCCCUCUGCUGCAGCUGUGCACUGCUGCUUCAAUGAAAGUUGCUAUUUAACACCAUCAGCUCACCCUUGAAUUGUUUCCUGGGCGAAGCCAAGAACCCUCCCAGGCAAAGCCCAAUUUUGGAGCUUGCCUGUCUUGCCUCAGUUGGUCACUCAUGGCUCAGAAUAAAUCUCCUCAAGUA